UGGGGAAUUUUGGACAAUGGGCGAAAGCCUGAUCCAGCAAUGCCGCGUGUGUGAAGAAGGCCUUCGGGUUGUAAAGCACUUUUGUCCGGAAAGAAAUCCUUGGCUCUAAUACAGUCGGGGGAUGACGGUACCGGAAGAAUAAGCACCGGCUAACUACGUGCCAGCAGCCGCGGUAAUACGUAGGGUGCAAGCGUUAAUCGGAAUUACUGGGCGUAAAGCGUGCGCAGGCGGCUUGCUAAGACCGAUGUGAAAUCCCCGGGCUCAACCUGGGAACUGCAUUGGUGACUGGCAGGCUAGAGUAUGGCAGAGGGGGGUAGAAUUCCACGUGUAGCAGUGAAAUGCGUAGAGAUGUGGAGGAAUACCGAUGGCGAAGGCAGCCCCCUGGGCCAAUACUGACGCUCAUGCACGAAAGCGUGGGGGAGCAAACAGGAUUAGAUACCCUGGUAGUCCACGCCCUAAACGAUGUCAACUAGUUGUUGGGGAUUCAUUUCCUUAGUAACGUAGCUAACGCGUGAAGUUGACCGCCUGGGGAGUACGGUCGCAAGAUUAAAACUUAAAUGAAUUGACGGGGUCAUAGCUGUUUCCU
rnacentral:rRNA from 1 species